GACGAACGCUGGCGGCGUGCUUAACACAUGCAAGUCGAACGGAAAGGCCCUGCUUGCAGGGUACUCGAGUGGCGAACGGGCGAGUAACACGUGGGUGAUCUGCCCUGCACUUCGGGAUAAGCCUGGGAAACUGGGUCUAAUACCGGAUAGGAGCCAUUUUUAGUGUGAUGGUUGGAAAGUUUUUUCGGUGUAGGAUGAGCUCGCGGCCUAUCAGCUUGUUGGUGGGUAAUGGCCUACCAAGGCGGCGACGGGUAGCCGGCCUGAGAGGGUGGACGGCCACAUUGGGACUGAGAUACGGCCCAGACUCCUACGGGAGGCAGCAGUGGGGAAUAUUGCACAAUGGGCGCAAGCCUGAUGCAGCGACGCCGCGUGGGGGAUGACGGCCUUCGGGUUGUAAACUCCUUUCGCUAGGGACGAAGCUUUUUGUGACGGUACCUAGAUAAGAAGCACCGGCUAACUACGUG
rnacentral:rRNA from 1 species